rnacentral:lncRNA from 1 species
AAGGCCCAAUCCUCUUAAAAGCGCCAACUCGAAAGGAAGCGGGAGGAGCGAAGACUUGGCGUGCGAGAUGAGUGUCCGACUUUCAAGGUGCAGUGCAAAUAAAUCUUUAGCAAUCAGUUACUAUGGAAAAUUCAAACGUUUUCUUCAGAUUCCAUGGCAUAAGCAACGGUUAGUUAGAUUUCUCAUAUUUCUUUUUGGAAUCGAUUUCUUCUUCGGUUCUCAUCUUUUUUUAUUUUUUAUUUUGUUUCAAACAACUUAUAAGUUACAAUUAGAUUCUUGAAAUUCGAUUAUUGCCAUUCUCGCAUUCGACAUACACAGUGAAUGAAUCGAUAACUUAUUGUUAUUCCCUUCUCUUUCUUUUUAGUUUUUGCGAUUCUUGAAAGUGGAUAAUUGCCCUUCUAUUUGUGAUAACCAAGUUUUUUUUUCUAGAAUAGCAAGCACCAGACCAUCGAUGAACAAUAUCACUAGUUAGAGUCUUCUAUUGUUCGUGAAAUUGAGAGAAAUUGCAAUAGAAUCUAAAUAAGUAUGCUACCAGAAUCCCCCAUUCUGAUUGUGAAAUUUCUUUCUUUUCUGUAAGUUCUUACUUUCUAGCCUUUGAAAUUUUUUAUUUUUCUGUGAUAUUCUAUUUUUUAUGAAUGUUUUCCGAUCUUCAGAAUUUUAUGUUGUUUUAUUGUGUAGAAUUGAGAAUCCAAGUUUAUGACCUUCUUAUUGUGAAUCUUGUAAGUGACUUAUCGAUUUUUUUAGAGAUAAUUUCUUUUUCAUUUGCUUAAUUUCAAUUUUUGAAUGUUAAUCUUUCUAGUUUUGAUUUCUCCGUUUUUCUGAACUUCAGAAUAUUAUGCCAGCGGCCGUGUUGGGGGUUUUUGAAUUUCUUAGAGGUAAUUCUCUUAGGGUUCAAAGUAUGUUCAUGACCUUUUUAUUUUGUUGUUCUGAAUUAUUAGUUGUUAGGUUGUUUAGUUUUCGGGGCAAACUUUUUUUUUCAUAUGUAGGACUUCUAGCCUUCAAUUGUAUUAUUUUUCUAUUUAAUUAAAAUUUACGAAGGUGUCGUUCUCUAAAAAAAAUUAUAAGGGCCCGGACUUUUUAUUUUGCCCCGGGCCCCAAAUUGUCUAGGAUCGGCCCUAAUUACAAACAACAAAUAUUGAAGAAAUAUGAACUUAGAUAUGGAGAUAAGAGAGAAAAAGGAUUAAAGAAAGGCCGGAGAGAUUUUAUUGAUCAUCAAAAGAAAAAUGUACAAGUUGG